UUUUUUUUUUUUUUUUUUUUUUUUUUUUCUCCUU
rnacentral:ribozyme from 13 species